GGUACAUGUCUGCCAGUUUGUGGGCCUGCUUAAGCUCCUCGCUCAGUGCCUGGGGAACAAAUCAUUCCACAGCUGAACACCACACACUAAGAUAUGUAUUUUGUUUCAUAAUAUACUGAGGCACACUCACCCGAAUCUCCUCCUGAUGCAUCUGUUGGGACUCUGGCGGUGCCUGGGCGAGACGCUGCGGUGCUGUGGCUCGUCCCGGUCUGUCCAGGCCACCGCGGCCACUCUGGAGCUUCUCGUGACAGGUGUCGAGCUGCCGCAGGAGCCGGUCCUUCUCCACCAUCCAGCCCUUCUCAUGGGUGCGGCUGUCGAACUUCAGCUGCAGGAAGUCCCUGGUGCUCUCGUACAGCAGGGUCUGUGUGCGCUGGAGCCUGCGAGACCAUUAUGGUAAAUCCAUAAUCCAAGAACAUUACGCAGCCACUUAUGUUAUAUUACAUUAGUGAACACAUUUGCCACAAGUUACAAACCGCGUCCCUGUCAACACCCAUAAGGGAUAUGCUCCACUAUCAGUGGCAACAGCAAAUAAAGCACAGUGAGGUGGGGUCAGA